rnacentral:rRNA from 1 species
AGAGUUUGAUCCUGGCUCAGAUUGAACGCUGGCGGCAUGCCUUACACAUGCAAGUCGAACGGCAGCACGGGGGCAACCCUGGUGGCGAGUGGCGAACGGGUGAGUAAUACAUCGGAACGUGUCCUGUAGUGGGGGAUAGCCCGGCGAAAGCCGGAUUAAUACCGCAUACGCUCUACGGAGGAAAGGGGGGGAUCUUAGGACCUCUCGCUACAGGGGCGGCCGAUGGCAGAUUAGCUAGUUGGUGGGGUAAAGGCCUACCAAGGCGACGAUCUGUAGCUGGUCUGAGAGGACGACCAGCCACACUGGGACUGAGACACGGCCCAGACUCCUACGGGAGGCAGCAGUGGGGAAUUUUGGACAAUGGGGGCAACCCUGAUCCAGCAAUGCCGCGUGUGUGAAGAAGGCCUUCGGGUUGUAAAGCACUUUUGUCCGG